rnacentral:rRNA from 1 species
AACGAACGCUGGCGGCAUGCCUAACACAUGCAAGUCGAACGAGACCUUCGGGUCUAGUGGCGCACGGGUGCGUAACGCGUGGGAACCUGCCCUUAGGUUCGGAAUAACUCCCCGAAAGGGGUGCUAAUACCGGAUAAUGUCUUCGGACCAAAGAUUUAUCGCCUUUGGAUGGGCCCGCGUUGGAUUAGCUAGUUGGUAGGGUAAAAGCCUACCAAGGCGACGAUCCAUAGCUGGUCUGAGAGGAUGAUCAGCCACACUGGGACUGAGCCACGGCCCAGACGCCUACGGGAGGUAGCAGUGGGGAAUAUAGACAAUGGGCGAAAGUCUGAUACAGCAAUGCCGCGUGAGUGAUGAAGGCCUUAGGGUUGUAAAGCUCUUUUACCCGGGAUGAUAAUGACAGUACCGGGAGAAUAAGCUCCGGCUAACUCCGUG